CCCGCAACGAGCGCAACCCUUAUCCUUUGUUGCCAGCGAUUCGGUCGGGAACGUCAAAGGAGACUGCCAGUGAUAAACUGGAGGAAGGUGGGGAUGACGUCAAGUCAUCAUGGCCCUUACGAGUAGGGCUACACACGUGCUACAAUGGCAUAUACAAAGAGAAGCGACCUCGCGAGAGCAAGCGGUCCUCAUGAAGUAUGUCGUAGUCCGGAUUGGAGUCUGCAACUCGACUCCAUGAAGUCGGAAUCGCUAGUAAUCGUGGAUCAGAAUGCCACGGUGAAUACGUUCCCGGGCCUU
rnacentral:rRNA from 1 species